CUCUUCUAUUGGCUCCAGUUAGACCAACAUUGAUGCUUCAUAUGUUUGAUUCUAUGCAAACUCAGUGAGCUUCCUUGUUACUCAGCUAUAAAAACAUCACAUCAGGCUGUCAGUGGAGUUCACAGCACGUCAGUUUCAACAUAAACCAUGUUCUCUGUAGCUCUGCUGCUGCUGUUGGCAGCUGGAUGUGUGAAGUGUGAACAGUUGACACAGCCAGCCUCUGUGACUGUGCAGCCAGGUCAACGUCUGACCAUCACCUGUCAGGUCUCUUAUUCUGUUAGUGGCUACUGGACACAUUGGAUCAGACAGCCUGCAGGGAAAGGACUGGAGUGGAUUGGACGAGCAGCUGCUGGAUCCACCUCAACUUACAAAGAUUCACUGAAGAACAAGUUCAGUAUCAGCUCAGACUCUUCCAGCAAAACAGUGACUCUAAACGGACAGAAUGUGCAGCCUGAAGACACUGCUGUGUAUUACUGUGCCAGAGAGCCACAGUGACACAAAGCAUCAGUAGACCUGAACAAAAACCCCUCAGUGCCUGAACACUUGUAACAUGAAGCCACCAGAGGAGGAGCCCUCAGACCACUAAUGAUUUCAACACCAGCUCACUGUUAC